rnacentral:rRNA from 1 species
UACGUAGGUGGCAAGCGUUGUCCGGAUUUACUGGGCGUAAAGAGCGCGCAGGCGGCCGAGUAAGUCGAAUGUGAAAGCCCCCGGCUCAACUGGGGAAGGUCAUUCGAUACUGUUCGGCUUGAAGAUAGGAGAGGGAAGCGGAAUUUCAGGUGUAGUGGUGAAAUGCGUAGAUAUCUGAAGGAACACCAGUGGCGAAGGCGGCUUUCUGGCCUAUUCUUGACGCUGAGGCGCGAAAGCUAGGGGAGCGAACGGGG